UGGGAAGGCAUCGGAGCACAGAG
rnacentral:misc_RNA from 1 species